GGGGAUGCACUGGUUUCGACGGGGGUGUAGAAACAGGAUAAGCGAGCCGCAGAUGGUCCAGCUGCGUAAAAGGGACCCGUUAAAGACAAACGCGAAAACUAACAAUAAACUCGCAUUUGCCGCUUAGUUCGGCACCGCGCGUCAGCCUCGAUUCACCUGCAGGUUGAGGAUCUGACGUCAGACAUGCAGGAAAACCCUGGGCGUGAUCCCGGUCGCACAGGGGACUAACGGGAUAGCCAAAGAAACAGCCUGCUUCUGGGCGGUUCCGGCGGCGAAUUCUUAAUGCAGAAGCUGCGCUCGGAGAAAGUCCUGUGGAAAUGCUUUCGGACAUGGGUUCAAUUCCCAUCAUCUCCACCA
rnacentral:tmRNA from 1 species